UACGUAGGGUGCGAGCGUUGUCCGGAUUUAUUGGGCGUAAAGGGCUCGUAGGCGGCCUGUCGCGUCGGGAGUGAAAGCCCACUGCUUAACGGCGGGUUGGCUUCCGGUACGGGCAUCGCUGGAGUGCGGCAGGGGAGACUGGAAUUCCUGGUGUAGCGGUGGAAUGCGCAGAUAUCAGGAGGAACACCGGUGGCGAAGGCGGGUCUCUGGGCCGUUACUGACGCUGAGGAGCGAAAGCGUGGGGAGCGAACAGG
rnacentral:rRNA from 1 species